rnacentral:rRNA from 1 species
CGGACGGGUGAGUAACGCGUGGGUAACCUGCCCUGUACAGGGGGACAACAGCCGGAAACGGCUGCUAAUACCGCAUAAGCCCGCGGCGCCGCAUGGCGCUGCGGGGAAGACUCCGGUGGUACAGGAUGGGCCCGCGUCUGAUUAGCUAGUUGGCGGGGUAACGGCCCACCAAGGCAGCGAUCAGUAGCCGGCUUGAGAGAGUGGACGGCCACAUUGGGACUGAGACACGGCCCAGACUCCUACGGGAGGCAGCAG